rnacentral:misc_RNA from 1 species
GAUGAAGAACGCAGCAAAAUGCGAUACUUGGUGUGAAUUGCAGAAUCCCGUGAACCAUCGAGUCUUUGAACGCAAGUUGCGCCUCAAGCCAUUAGGUUGAGGGCACGUCUGCCUGGGCGUCACAUAUCGUUGCCUGAUGCCAGUUUCCUCGUGAUGGGUGACUGUGCAGGGCGAAUGAUGGCUUCCCGUGAGCAUUGUUGCCUCAUGGUUGGUUGAAAAUUGAGUCCUUGGUAGGGAGCGCCGUGAUAGAUGGUGGUUGAGUGACGACCGAGACCCAAUCAUGUGAGACCCCUACCGAAUUUGGCCUUCAUGACCCACAUGCGUCUUUGGAACGCUCAUGACGAGACCUCAGGUCAGGCGGGGCUACCCGCUGAGUUUAAGCAUAUCAAUAAGCGGAGGA